rnacentral:rRNA from 1 species
CCUACGGGGGGCAGCAGUGAGGAAUAUUGGUCAAUGGACGAGAGUCUGAACCAGCCAAGUAGCGUGAAGGAUGACUGUCCUAUGGGUUGUAAACCUCUUUUAUAUGGGAAUAAAAUGUUCCACGUGUGGGAUUUUGUAUGUACCAUAUGAAUAAGGAUCGGCUAACUCCGUGCCAGCAGCCGCGGUAAUACGGAGGAUCCGAGCGUUAUCCGGAUUUAUUGGGUUUAAAGGGUGCGUAGGUGGAUUGUUAAGUCAGUUGUGAAAGUUUGCGGCUCAACCGUAAAAUUGCAGUUGAAACUGGCAGUCUUGAGUAUGGUAGAGGUAGGCGGAAUUCGUGGUGUAGCGGUGAAAUGCGUAGAUAUCACGAAGAACACUGAUUGCGAAGGCAGCUCGCUGGAAUGUAACUGACACUGAGGCUCGAAAGUGUGGGUAUCAAACAGGAUUAGAUACCCGUGUAGUC